UACGGGGGGGGCAAGCGUUGUUCGGAAUUACUGGGCGUAAAGGGCUCGUAGGCGGCCAACUAAGUCAGACGUGAAAUCCCUCGGCUUAACCGGGGAACUGCGUCUGAUACUGGAUGGCUAGAGGUUGGGAGAGGGAUGCGGAAUUCCAGGUGUAGCGGUGAAAUGCGUAGAUAUCUGGAGGAACACCGGUGGCGAAGGCGGCCACCUGGACGGUAACUGACGCUGAGACGCGAAAGCGUGGGGAGCAAACAGG
rnacentral:rRNA from 1 species